rnacentral:rRNA from 1 species
GACGUAGGGCGCGAGCGUUUGUCCGGAUUUAUUGGGCGUAAAGAGCUCGUAGGCGGCUUGUCGCGUCGACUGUGAAAACUCGGGGCUCAACUCCGAGCUUGCAGUCGAUACGGGCAGGCUAGAGUUCGGUAGGGGAGACUGGAAUUCCUGGUGUAGCGGUGAAAUGCGUAGAUAUCAAGAGGAACACCUGCGGCGAAGGCGGGUUGCUGGGCCGACACUGACGCUGAGGCGCGAAAGCUAGGGGAGCGAACGGG